GAAAUCCUUCCCUGUUCUCUCUCUUCCAUUAUUACCGUCUUCCCCAACAUUGCGUCUUCCCCAAACUCUUCAUAUUUCCCCACAUUUUACUACUAACGUUAGAAUCGAAGCCUUCACGAAGCACGAGCGUCCAGUCUCAGCACCUCCGGGAUCAUUCUUUUUCUUUCAUUUUCCUUUCCUUUCCUUUUUCUUUUUCAUCUAUAGUCCUUUUUGUUUCUUCCCCACAUUUUACUUUCUUCCCUAGGUUUCCACCAACAAAUUGUUCUUCGUAUGUACUCUGCUCUGAUCCACCAACAAAUUACCAUCCCGCCGCCUUCAAUCAUCCGUCGAGCCCACUAAACUAACGAAGAAAGUUAGAUCCAUUGAACGUUUGGAGGUAUGGUUUAUCGAUCUUUAUUUGUUGGGUUUUAAAAUUUUUGGUGCUUUUCCAUGUGGAUUAUGCUGUGGGUUUGAGUUUUGACUUAGCAUGUAUUAGUAAUUUGGAGCUGUCCAGAGUGAAUUAAAAAGGGCUUGAAAUGGAUUGUUGUUUGGCAUGUGCUUAUUGACAAUUUCAUUCUUUGGCUUAUCCUGUAUGAAUUAGAAAUGGAUUGUUGUUUUGCGUGUGAGUUCAUUAUUUCACAUGUAAAACGAUACUGUUUUGCUUUUAAUAUGUGAAACCUUUUUAAUGCAAUUUCCAUUUGAUUCUUGAAUAAUGUUACUUAGCUAAUUAUAUACUUAAAUAAUAUUGCUUGGUGUUGAUUAGAACUUGAAAGAUAUUACUUGGCUAAUUAGAUGCUUUUCCACUUAACACUCUUCCAAUCCUUGUUCUUGAAAGUUUCAAUUAGGAUACAGUCUGGGAAAGUUUAUUGUUUAUCGCUAAAAUUAUCAUAGUCACGUUGCACAUUUGUGAAUUAUAAAAUUGUUUGUUGAUGAGGUUCUUAAUACACAUUCUUUUAAAUUUGUGAUUUCUAUCUUCAAAAAGAUCUCUAUUUGUGGGUGGUUGCAUUUUGUCAGAAUUAGAUGAAUAACUUUUUCUCAAAUGGUUUUCUCUGGAAUGGACAAGUUUACUUGCAUGUGUUUCUGAAAUAAUCUUCAAACAUUCAAGAAUCAAGAAACCUCUCUGUGACAAAACCUCAGAUUCAGUUCCAUGAGUAUGGCAACGAUUCAAGCAUAUAGGAAUCAUUUUUUUU
rnacentral:lncRNA from 1 species